rnacentral:misc_RNA from 1 species
CUGCUAGGUAUUUUGGGCCAUUUGAGGUGUUGGGAAAAAUUGGAGCUGUUGGUUAUAAAUUAAAGCUGCCUAAUUCUUCAAAAAUACAUCCGGUCUUUCAUGUUUCACAACUCAAAAGAGCCAUUAGAGAUCAUCCAGUCAUAUCAGAUCUGCCUGUCAAUAUAAAGGAAGGAAAGGGGCCUAUGGUGGAACCAGAAACAAUAUUUCAUAGACGUCAGAUCAAUCGUAAUCACCAGAUUGUGUCACAAGUAUCAGUUUGUUGGAAAGGGCAAUCCAUGGACAAGGCAACUUGGGCGGAUGAAUUUGAUAUUAGCAGUCAAUUUCCUCAUUUCAACCUUGAGGACAACGCUAAUUCUCAACAGGGCGGUAAUGAUAGAGAUGCUAAUGUUGCAGGCCCUGUUGCUAUUGUUUCCACAGGCUCAAG